rnacentral:lncRNA from 1 species
GACGAUUGUGCAUCGGACCGGAUGCUGGAGAAGAAGGAAGACCUAGAAGAGAGGCUGAUGCCAGAACUCAAAUCCCUGGCCCUCGGCACGAGCAAAGAGUGAGCCGCAAACAUUAUGUGCAUGGUGCGCCAUGCCCUCGUGUAAAUACACAGACCUCUCUAUCUAUCAUCGGCACUGGAGCUUGGGAUGCAAGCAGCCACCCUGCGAUACUUGGUCAACUUAGCACACUCAUCAAUUGAAUCUAGCGUAGUACUGUAUGUCGGUUGCGUGCUUGCGCCGUGAGCUCAUUUGUUGCCCUCUGGCGUCGCAAUUUCUGAAGGAAAGGGAUCCAUGUGUAAUAUACACCGUGUACAUUCUAGGGGGUCGUGUGACAGCAGAAUCAACUUCUUAAUUUUUGACGAGCAACCAAAUACCGACUGACAGCAUGUAUUGAGGUAGAAACACCUUGAAACUCUGGUGGUUCCUUUAAGAACAAUGACUGCAAGCAAAUAUUUUUCGAGAACCUUUUAUCUUGUGAUCAACUAGAAACACAUUCUUCUCGUCCAAGUGCCACACGAAACAUCAGAGUAUGAGUAGGCUGCAAACGCCUGUCAAGACAAGCGUCCAUUCGAACGCACGUGGCGUUUUCGGUCAAGGUUUUGGGACUCGUUGGGGCCGUUCGCACGUGACAUUUUAUUCACUAAUAAUUAAUUUGGCCAUUCUCCCUUUUGAUGUUCUACACCAAUCAUCACCCCAAGACUUAGGCCGACGGAUCUUCAGCACUCGUCAGAGUCAAACCCCAUCCUUGCAUUGCAACAAAGGGAAUGUUGUGGAACCCUUUGCAACAUAGCUCCUGUUGCAGAAACAUUUACAACAAAGUUCAUGUUGCAGAAUUUUUUCACAACAUAGGCGAUGUUGCAGUUUUUUUGAAAAAACAUUUGCAACAGAGAUCAUGCUACCGGAAACUUUUGCAACUGAGACCAUGUUGCGAAAAUAAAUUGCAACAAAAAUGAUGUUAUAGAAAUGCUGCCGCGGCCGACCGGCCGUCGUUCAUCGUCAUCGUUUAUGAGACCGUCGUGGCCAUCGUUCAUGGCACCUAACAUCCCGCACAGGCCGCACAAAGGCUGAUGUGCGGCCGUUGCCAAAGAAAUCGAGACUGCAGAGAGAACGCAACACCAGGGACACGAUGGCUUGCCUAUAGAAGCGGUCGCUUCCCUCAUAGCAACGUCGGUAGCAAUGCAGUGCGACAAUAGGAGUAAAAGCAACGGGCAAGGCGGCGAGGUUACAAAAGUAGCAGCGCCAUGUUCAGGAGCUUGAGAAAGAAGCCGUGGAAAAUUGUGGAUGGAUAACGAUGUGUUGGCGUUGACUCACGAAAGAAAAGGGAUGCUCUGGUUCGAGUUGGAUAUUUCUAGAGAAAGGUGGGACCAGAAGAGCACAAGACCAUUCGAUCCCACAUACAAUCCGAUGGCUGGACGGAAGCUUUUUCCUUUAAUAUUGGGGAGCUACCCAAAUUAUUUCACAAUUUUAGCCCAACCCUAUGACCAACCUCUAGUUUAAAUCCCUUUAUUCCUUUUCCUCUCCUUUUUAUGCCAAACAAAUGCCAAGCCUUGCCAAUAGACUGUGGAUAAAUUUUUGGAGCUUUGAAAUGAUUCAGAGACCACAAUUUAAGUUUUCACGACUUUUGGAAUUCAUUUGACCCACCAAAUGUUGUCCCCCAAGCCUCCUUUUUUGCGGGGAAAUGCCACCAUGGCUAGCUUUAUUAAAUCAGACAAUAAUUACAUUGUUCACUAAUUGGCUGAUUAGGAAACCCGGGGCUUCAUCAAUCCAAUUAUCAUCACACUCAUUACAAAAGCUGAAUUUAGCUAGCUCAUGAGCUACCGAAUUAGCAUCCCGAAAACAACGCGAAAAGAUGACCUUCCGUAUUGAUGUUGCUGUGUCAAUGCACUCAGCAAAGAUUGCCGCUGCUGCAUCCCACCAUUGAUUUCGUCCUUGGCACUUUGGCAGUAGUUCACCACACUCAAAGAGUAGGACUCUGCUUCAGUUCUGUCAAAACCCAGAGUGUUUGCGAAAUUUAAACCAUCAUGCAUUGCCAUAGCCCCAACCGUCACUACAUCAGCUGCAACAUUAACGAAUCUGCAUUGUGCAGCAAUAAAGUGGCCUUUAUCGUCCAGUAAGACAGCGCCUGUCGCACCCGAUUCCUCCUUUGCAUUAAAAGAAGCAUCUACAUUCAGUUUGAUAAAUUUCGAACCCGGCCUCUUCCAUUUGUGCAGUCACAUCCUUGUUACCGCUAACAGACUUGGUAUGAUUUGCAACAAUUGCCAUAAGUGAGUUAGUCCACCCAAACCCAAGCCUCCUUUAAUUUUUUCUUUAAAAGAAAAAGAAGAAUUUAAAUUUAACCAGCCCUCCCUCUCUUCUCAGCUUUUCUUUUUGAGCAAACAGGAUGUCAGUGCACAACUAGAGUGUGCGCAGUCCACACAGCCGGCCCAAGCCCGCUGGACCCCACCUGCCCUCUCCGCGCUGUCGUCUUCUCCAGAGAGAUCGAGGGGACGCGUGUGCCGGCCGACAUCAGCGAGCAACCGCCGCAGCUCUCCUCUCCCCUUGAAGCAUCCCCAGCCACCCAAACCCUAACCCUACUCCCCCCACUCCCUUCCGCCGCUGCCAGGUGGGUCUCCCCCUCUGUUUCCUUCUCCACCAAGCAAGCCGAGGAGCGCCAGAGCAUCGCCGGAGCAGGCCACCGCGGCCAGCGUCCUCCGCCGGCGUUUUCUGCGUGACCAGGAGCCCCUCCUGCACGACCACUUCCUCUACUCGGACGACCUCGAGCUCGGACGUCUCCACGCCGUCGAAUUGGUCGACCUCCUCCUCUUCGGUCUGUUCGCCGUCACCGUUCAAAUUCGCCGCCGGCAGACCUCCUCCGCCCUUUUCGGCUACGCCAGCAUCACCAGGUGAGCAGCCGCGCCAAAAGCCCCAACCUCUCCCCCCUCGAUUUCGUCCUCGGAGCACGACCUCCGGGAGCGCCACCGUUCGGUUCGGUCGCCGGGGUCGUUCCGAUUGUUGCUAGGUCGCGCGCGUGGCGUCCUUAGACUCACACUACACGAGCAAGUAGACCUCUCGCUCGUUCGAGAGGUCUAGCGCUCGAGCAUCGCCCCUAACUUUUAAAACCAACAUUAGGCUCAGACGACUUAAAUGGCCCAAUUAAAUUAUUGUCCUCUCACCACGCUGACAAAUGCAUUGCAUUACAAUAAGAUUUGGUUGUAUGAAACAUUUGGAUUAAUAAUAUGUGGAAAAAAAACUAAAAAUACAUACUAUAUAUUGUACGUAUUAAAUUAUUGUCCUCUCACCACGCUGACAAAGAACAUAUCGAGGACAGCCUGACGGUGACAAAUGCUUAUUGAUGCAGGGAAGAAGAAAAUGAACACCAUGCUGUCAGAAAAUGCUGAAAGGAGGCCAAGUGUGCUUGAUAAUCUGCAAAAGCAGCUAGAUGAGGUAAUCUGCUUUUGCAUCCCAAUUACUUUACUUUGUGCUUUCUUUCUAAUAUAUAGUUUCUGGAUACCCUUGAAAUUGUUCGCUAUUGCUAAAUUGCUUUCCUGCAUUUCUCUUCUGGUGCUAGAUCAUCUUACUUUUUUCAAUUUUGUUCUUUGUCACCGCCAGGCUGUCCUCGACAUGCAACUUUAUGGAAAAGCUCUAGAUGUGUUUGAGGAUGAUCCUGCUACCCGUGUAAGCUGCUAUAGCCUAUGGGCAUUGUUCUCACAACAUCGCUUGCUACUCAAUACGUUAUCAGCCUUUACUUAGGUCCUUUUCUUUACCUGUUUUCUGGUUUUCAGGGCAUAUUACACGACCAUCUGCUCAGAACUAUGGGUACUCCAAUAGUCGACAAGAUUUUAUUUGGUCUGGUAACUUCUAUAAGCUCACAUCGUGGGGUUGCCUGCAAGAUUAUAAUUCAUAAAUAAUUUCGUGAUGUAUCCGUUUUGGCUUUAAUUUUACCCUUGCAACAGUCCCUUAAAUAACAUGCACCCCUGAUUGUGCUACUUCCCUCCUUGUGAUCUUUCUUGCGCCACGAACUAUGAAACUGUGACUAGCUUAUGAAUUAUAAUCUGAAUAGUUUAAAAGGUUUUGUAACCUACUUCUCUGACUAGCACGUGUACUUUGGACUGAACUACCGAUAGGAUAAGGACAACAAAUUGAAGAAUGGAAUGGAGUUUGAAGACAGUGAAGAACAGCAUGUUCAGCUCAGCACUACUGAGCGUACUUUUCUGGUACAAUUCACUUAUUUCUUUUUUCCAUAUGUUAUGUAAUGUUUUCCUGUGUCAAUCCUGUAUGAAAAUGUAAUUUUGUUUAACUUUGUGGGUUGCUCUUUUUUGUUAAAAAAACUUCAGGCAAAGGAUCUUCCAGGGCAAUUGUCAUCAAAGGCUCAAGCUUUAGUCGAAGCGCUGGAGGGAAAGGUUUGUCUGUAACCAAGAAAUAUUAUUUGACGAAUUGAUUGAAGCCUUGAAGUCCUUAGUUCUGUAUUUUUCUUGCUCUAAAUCUAGUAUGCAUGACAGCUUAAAUUCUGGUAAUAUGUUAGCACCUACAGUUAACAAUCAAACAUACCACAAAAACUUUAGUCUGGGUCUCUGGGUACAGCAGACGUUUGAAUGAUUAACAUGAUAAAAUACUAUACAUUUUUGAGGCGAUGAAUCUAUAUAUAGAUGAAGUUCUUCCGUGAAGCUUCCUGCAUUAUGUUAAUCACCAGAUUGCCAAAAUGCUAUGUUAUAAAUACCCAACAUUCACAAUUUCUUGUUUGCUGCCUAUACCCUGUAAAAACCCUGUCAUUCUGUAGACUAACCACGAAACCCACUUCAUGUUAAUUUUCUGUGUGUUCUAUGACAUCAAUUAUUUGAUCCUGUAAUAACUAGUCAAUUAAAUAUGCAACAGAUACCCUGAAAAAAAUGUUGAGAUGAGAAGAUAAGGGUUCAAUUUCUUAUUGAUAUAUUACGUAUUCAAUUCCAUUGUCAGAAAGUGUAUAUAAUUCAUACUAGGGCUAACACACUAGUUCAGAUAUAAGAUUGCAUGUAAGAAAGAUCUUCCUCACCAAUUUGUUAUUCUCUGCUAGUUGAUAAAAUGUGCAUGUUCCUAAGCAUAUGACUUGUGAGUUCUUUGUUGUCUAAACACAUACACUAAAUAAAAAAAAUCAAUAAGUGACUGUUGCUAUGUCUUUGAGAUCCACAACUUCUAAUAUAACUGGACUUUGUAGCUCUUUCUAACUUUUUCUUGAAAUCCACAACAGCGGUUUGAUUCAUUUAUGGACGCCUUAAGAGAUACAGCAGAGGAAAGGUAACAUUUUAUGUUUGUACUUGAUUUCCGCAUUGGCUGGAUUAUCAAAGUGCUUACUCUCUUUUUCAGUGGUCUGUUAUUUAAGAAGCUUGAUGAAAGACUUGAGCCAUUAAUGCUGCAUUCCCACCGCAAGGUAUGUUCUUGGUAUCUUCUAUCUUGAUGGUAGUAUCAGAGCGUCUGGGAAACCAGUGGGAACUGACUUUCUUGAUCUGGGCUUAUCAGGUUUUUAGUUUUUGCUGGUUUAGGCCCUAAACGUUCCCCUUUGAUACCCAGUUCAGGUGGAAUGAGUAUAUUAUCAGUUCAUCACUUAUUUGAUAUGCCCCAAACACUAAUUGUUCUUGUGUUUUCAUAUUCUAAACUUAGCAAACCGCUCAAAUAACCUGAACCAUUCUGGUAGCACUUUUUAAAACCAUGUCUUACAGUACGAUCUUUGUUUCUAUGAAAGUAUGGUAUUUUCCACGGUUAAAAAAAUGCUGUUUCUUGUGUUUUUUAGCAUCAAAGUAGUGCAAGUACAGAAUAGCAGAAUGCAAGUCAAAAUCAUCAUGAUAAUAUAAAUUUACCAAGAUUGUUAGACUCCUAGGCGCUCUUAUAGAUUGGUAGGGUGUGAAUUCAUACAUGCUAAGUUUCUUUAUGGAUGAAUUCUAGUGCUAAUUAUUUGACACCUUAAUUUCUAUGAAUUGAAGGAUUUGAUAGCACAAGUUUCUUCAGAGACUGAUCCAGUGUCCUUCCUCCCAAAAGUUGUUGCUCUGCUUUUUCUCCAGGUUUGCUUCAUUGUAUCUUUCCUGAAAUAACACUCCUGCUUUCUCUCUGUAUUUAUAGGCUGGCCUGAGAAACAUCAUUUUUGAAUAUUUUGUAGGCAUACAACAAGGCUCUUCAGGCACCUGGAGGGGCUGUUGGUGCUGUCAUCACAGUACUGAAGGUAAUUUUUUUAUUUGCAUUUGAUUUAAAAUAUACUUAAUGCAAGUCAAGUAGAAUAUGUUAACUUUUAACAACAGUAUCCUGAUCACAGAAUCUUUGAUACUAUGUCUGAUAUGUUGAAACAGCAUAACAGAUAUUAUAAUUCCUGUACGUAGCUCCACGGCCCCACCAGUAUUUCAAGAAACUAGUGUUAACCAUCAAAUUCCUGCCGGCUUUUGGAUCGAUGAUCGACAGUCCUCUGCAUUCUACCCAUAGUAUCUUAGCCCCUUGAGUUUUAGUUUUAUAGCAGGCUUACAGAAUUAGGAUGUUUUGGCCUGUCUGUGAUGUUGGCUUAUUUCACAUAUUCAGAUAUAAAUAACACUGUUAAUUUUAGCAAAAUCUGCACCUGUGUGAUCAUCUGCCUCUUGUUUUUCAGGACAAGCUACCAGCUUCAACCUUCAAGGUUUUAACUGAAUAUCACGCCACCACCGUGAAACUUCUCGCACUACAAGAUGCUGCUACGGGUGAUGUAAGUCCACUCAAACAACUUCGAAUACAUCAGUGCUCACUGCUGUGUGCAUUAGAAAAGGAUUAGUUUGUUAUCCUCCCAUAACUUUUUUCCGGUUUCUGCCCUGAACUCUAUACAUGUACUCUUAAUUUCUAUUUCGAGCUCUCCCCAUUUACCCAAAAUCAUAUGCUAUGGUCAAACAGUAACUACAUUGGAUUCAUGCAUUAACAUUUCUUUUGUCGGUAUCGAUCAUCUGCCGUAUGGCAAAACUACAAAAGAACUUGGACUACUGUCUUCGAUGCUCAUUCGUGCAAUGAUGCAUCAUCUUGUCUUUGCCCUGCAGGAAGACGAUUGCACAUCGGACCGAAUGCUGGAGAAGAAGGAAGACCUAGAAGAGAGGCUGAUGCCAGAACUGAAAUCCCUGGCCCUCGGCACGAGCAAAGAGCAGUGAGCAGCAAACGUUGUGUGCAUGGUAUGCCAUGCCCUCGUGUAAAUACACAGAUGUAUCUAUCUAUCCUCCUCGGCACUAGAGCUGACAGCAGAAUCAACUUAAUUUUUUAACGAGCAGCCACAGCAUGUAUGAACUUCUUAAACACCUUGAAACUCUGGUACUUCCUUUCUGAACAAUGACUGCAAGCAAAUGUUUUUCGAGAACCUUUUAUCUUGCGAUCAACUGGACACUCAUUAUUUUCUUAAGUGCCACUCGAAACAUCCG